rnacentral:lncRNA from 1 species
UGGAGUCCCAGCGAGAUCGUAUGGUGAAAGCUUUGGCCGAACUGCUUCAGAGGACCAAAGGGACUCCGGGAAGGAUAGGCCGGCAAGCAACAUCUGGUCCAAAAGUGGUCAGGAUGCUUCCUAAGCAGACUCAAGCUGACCCAGAACCUGCUGACCCAUUGAAAUCCACCGCCCCUCCCCUUCUUCCACCACCGACAGAGAAGACACUCAAUUCCACUGCCUCACCCAGGCCACGAGGCCGGCCACGUGGCUCCUUCAGAAAGAAACCAGUUGCAAGACCUCCUCCCAAGAGCACCAAAACUUCCCCUUCCAUCCCGGAGCCUAACAAUAAUAUCCAGCUGCCCUCCUCGUGCACAGAAGAAAUCAAUGCAUCCUCUGAGCCGGCGGAAGCGUUGAAGAAACCACCGCUCAUCCUCAAGUUCUUCUCCAAGGCCAGGCGGCAUAAAUCUGGCCAGUUGGUGGUGACUCACGUCCGGCUAAAGACCCAGGGUCACCGAAGGGGCCGGAAGAGGAAGUGGAGCGUGGUGCCGGAAAAGAAGCUCUCCCCGCUUCCUUCGGAGGCGGUGUCUGAAUCGGAAGCAGUUUUGUCAGAGCCGGAUACCUCUGCCCCAGAACCCAAACAGAACGAACCCCCUGCUCCCCAUUUGCUAUCAGAGAAUCCUGCCCCCGAAUCAUCUCCUCAGCCCAAAUCCCCCGUUUCAAACCCAGAGCCAGAACAGGAGGCAGUUGUCCAGGAACUGCAGCCAGCCCCAGAGGCCCCUGUCCCAGAACCAAAGCCUUCCAUACCUGAAGGUGACGCUCUUCCUUCGCCCAACCAGGUAUCUUGGAAACAGGAGUCCCAGCAGCAGCAGCCCUGUCCACAGAGCGACAGAGCGGCCCUCCUUUCCGAGAAGGGGCCUUCUCGGGUUGCCCUUUCCAUAAGGGCACGGUGUUUGAAACGGGGUCGUGGGCGGCGCAUGGCAGCUCAGCCAUUGCCAGGCAAGAUGAGGGAGGAGGCCGGGGGAACGGCUCAGCAGUCCGGAGUCGCUGGCUCCGAGGAGGCCCCCACUCUCAAAACUACCUUCCUGAAAAAUAUCCGCCAGUU